AAUGAACGCUGGCGGCAGGCCUAACACAUGCAAGUCGAACGGAUCCUUCGGGAUUAGUGGCGGACGGGUGAGUAACGCGUGGGAACAUACCCAAAGGUACGGAAUAGCCUCGGGAAACUGGUAGUAAUACCGUAUGUGCUCGAAAGAGGAAAGAUUUAUCGCCUUUGGAUUGGCCCGCGUUGGAUUAGGUAGUUGGUGGGGUAAUGGCCAACCAAGCCGACGAUCCAUAGCUGGUUUGAGAGGAUGAUCAGCCACACUGGGACGGAGACAAAGCCCAGACUCCUACGGGAGGCAGCAGUGGGGAAUCUUAGACAAUGGGGGAAACCCUGAUCUAGCCAUGCCGCGUGAUCGAUGAAGGCCUUAGGGUUGUAAAGAUCUUUCAGGUGGGAAGAUAAUGACUGUACCACCAGAAGAAGCCCCGGCUAACUCCGUGCCAGCAGCCGCAGUAA
rnacentral:rRNA from 1 species